rnacentral:rRNA from 1 species
UACGUAGGGUGCAAGCGUUGUCCGGAAUUAUUGGGCGUAAAGGGCUCGUAGGCGGUCCGUCACGUCGGGAGUGAAAACUUGGGGCUUAACCCCAAGCCUGCUUCCGAUACGGGCGGACUAGAGGUAGGCAGGGGAGAACGGAAUUCCUGGUGUAGCGGUGAAAUGCGUAGAUAUCUGGAGGAAUACCAGUGGCGAAGGCGGCAUCCUGGACCAUUACUGACGCUGAGGCGCGAAAGCUAGGGGAGCAAACGGG